UGAGCAACCUGCCCCUGGCUCUGGGAUAACCCCGGGAAACCGGAGCUAAUACCGGAUACGAGACCGAUUGGCAUCUAUACGGUCUGGAAAGUUUUUCGGCCAGGAAUGGGCUCGCGGCCUAUCAGCUUGUUGGUGGGGUAAUGGUCCACCAAGGCGACGACGGGUAGCCGGCCUGAGAGGGCGAUCGGCCACACUGGGACUGAGACACGGCCCAGACUCCUACGGGAGGCA
rnacentral:rRNA from 1 species